GGGGAUUUGGCUCAGUGGUAGAGUGCUUGCCUAGGAAGCGCAAGGUCCUGGGUUCGAUCCCCAGCCCUG
rnacentral:tRNA from 1 species